AGAGCGAACGCUGGCGGCAGGCCUAAUACAUGCAAGUCGAGCGGUCCCUUCGGGGGCAGCGGCGGACGGGUGAGUAACGCGUGGGAAUGUGCCCUUUGGUACGGAACAACUGAGGGAAACUUCAGCUAAUACCGUAUGUGCCCUUCGGGGGAAAGAUUUAUUGCCAUUGGAGCAGCCCGCGUUGGAUUAGCUAGUUGGUGGGGUAAUGGCUCACCAAGGCAACGAUCAGUAUCC
rnacentral:rRNA from 1 species